CUGAAUGUCCCCGUCUUGACUUGGCGAAGAAUGGCGAAGGACAUCAAAACUUCCAGUCAGAAUGAACGUUUGCCAUAUCCGAUGAUUAUUAUGCACCUUUUGCGGAGACAUGGUAUUGACACUCGAUGUGCUUCCUAUGAGCAUAGUUUGGGUGUGAUCAGUGAGACGAUGUUUAUAAAGUCCUCUGUUCAGCUUCGCUGUCCUACACAGCGUUCUCGUCCGCAUCGCUCUGCUCAGCGUCAUUCCACUCCACCUUCUGUUGCUCCAGGUCCUUCCGGGCCUUCUGAGGAGGUUUCUGAGGAUAUGUCGAUUUCAUCCAUUUAUCAUGAGCAACAGUGACUCUCUAAUGAGCAGGAACAGAUUUCUGGAGAGCUCCAAUGCAUUACCGCUGAACAAGCGUGGAUUGCUGCUGAACAUGCCCAAAUUACCAAAAAGAUCAGCAAAAUCUCCAAGAUCAUGAAGGCGAUUUUUGAUAAGAUGGGGUGUUGUAGUGCUGAUAUUCCUCCACAGGAUGCAGAUUCUGACUGAAUGCUUUGGGUUUCCCUCCUUUUGUCGUUCUGUGCUUUCUAACAAAAAGGGGGAGAUGAUAUAUGA
rnacentral:lncRNA from 1 species